rnacentral:lncRNA from 1 species
AAAUAUUAGAGUUUCCAGCACUUUUUUUAAUCACCAUUUGAUCACACUUAAAUGAAUUAAAAGCAGAUGUUGAAAUUGCUGCCAACUGUUCACUUGUCAUCUGUGAAUGGGAAUUAACUUGGUUUUGCUCCUCAUUAAAUACAACGUUAGGCUUCAGUAGUUUAAAGUCUUGGAACGCAGGUCCUGAUGGGACUUUAAAGUUACAAACAACUGAAGGAAUUUUGAUAACGGUGAAAACAUUUGUAAGAUAACAAGGAAAACUCCUGGGAAAGUAUGGAAUCCUGAAACUCUCACGUGACAUCUGAAGAGACAAAAGUCACUAUUUUGUUAUUCGACGAGAACUUCUGGGCCCCAUGUGUGCUUUCAGCCCUGCCUUUGGUGUAGCGGAGGCUAUGAAAGGACUUACAAACGGCCGUCCCUCUUGGCGUUAAGGCACAGGAGACACUGUACGCCUCGGCGCCGGAUGAGGGGCCCGAGGACGGAGGGCUCAGCAGAGCUGAGAUGACACGGGCGGGCACCUCAGGGCAAGCUGGACCGGAUGAUGAAGAACCUGUCGGGAUCUGACAUUCUCUCAAGCGGCAGCCGACCUCCGAGAUGGCCCUCAGUGAGUCUGGCCUUUGGGGGAAGCCAGCCUCCAUGUCAAGAGGACAUUCAAGUGGCUGGUGGAAAGGCUCAUUGGGAGAGGACGGGGGCCCCCUGCCAGCAGCCAACACCAACUCGUGAGGCACGCGAGCGAGCCCCCGUGGAAGAGGACCGCCAGGCCGGUGAAGCCUUCAGAUGACUGUGUGACUGCGACCCUGGCCAAUACCCCGACCGUCGCCUCAAGAGGCCGUGAGCCAGGCACCCAGCUCAGCCGCUUCCAAGUCCUGGCCCACAAAAGCUGUGAGAAGAUAAUGUUCACUGUUUUAAGACACUGAGUUUUGGGGUAAUUCUUUAUGUAGCAUUAGGUUAACGCAUCCUAUUAGGUCUUCAUCUCCACCUAAGAAUGCAUGCAAGUCAAGAAAAGAUGGCUUGAAAAUAAAUAAAAGAUCAAGAGCUAUGAUCAUUUCUCUCUUUUUAAAAAAUAAAUGCUAUACUACUAUUAUAGCGAAAAAUGAAAUAAACUCUACUACACUAACAGAA